GCCAAUCUUCUUUUUUAUUUUCCUUAUUUUUCUCCCCAAAGCCCCCCAGUACAUAGUAUAUUGUAAUUGUAGGUCCUUCUGGCUGUGCUAUGUGGGACACCGCCUCAGCAUGGCUUGAUGAGCGGUGCUGUGUCCACACCCAGGAUCCAAACCAGCGAAACCCUGGGGUGCCGAAGCAGAGUGUAUGAAUUUAACCACUCGGCCACAGGCCUGGCCCCUACAUCUGGCUUUUUAAAAACAUCUCAUUCUUUCUUCAUGAAUACAAUAGCUUCUUUUAUCACUGAGACCAUAACUUGUAGGUCUUAAUUUUUCUGAUUCCUCUAAAUUCUUUUCUGUUUGUUUUUAUCUCUACUUUUUCAUGCUGAAGACUUUCCUCAAAUAUCUGGGAAUUCUUAUUUAUUUAUAUUUAAGAGUGACGCACUAAAACCUAGUAUGAUCUGUGUGGGGAAGUGGGACAUACCGAGUUGUAGACUUCAUUGCAGAAUGAUUGGGCAGGGACCCAGGCAUUCCCUCGGGGACACCUCCCCACAAACGUGUCAGCAUCUCUAGCUCUUUCUUCCUGGGAUGGUCAUUUUUCCCUAGGGAGAAAUUCUGUCUCUAGCUCCUUACCUUGGCGGGAGUCAUGCUGGCUGCCAGCCUUCUGGGAGCCAGGUUAGGGAAAGAGGCUUCAGAGUAUUACUUUGCAGGACAUUAAUUUCCUCUGAAUUCCCCUGCUUUCUGCAGAGCUCCCUGCCUUUCCACUCUGCCUAAACUUGGAGUCCCUCAAUUCAAUACCCUCCCACUUUCUGCUGGGGUGGGUUGCUUGGUUUCCUGUUUUGCAGAAAGCAAUAUAAGGGCCUAACUGCUCCAUUUACAGAAUUUCAACCCAUCUUUCUGUUUUCAGCCCUACCCCUCACUCUGGCCUUCAAAGAUAACUGGAACCACAAUUCUUGAGAUUUUCCAGAGCUCUAAAGCCGGGUUUUUCUUCCUGGCUUCCCUCUCUGCAGUCAGUGUAGUUUCAGCUUCCUCUGCCCUGCUAGAUCAGUUAGUGAUUGCCCAUCUGCUUUUUGGCUUCCAAAAUUUGAUUGACAUCUCUCAACUGCUCUUCUACUCUCUACUCUUGUCUCCCCUCAUGGUCUCUUCUUCCUCGUAGGUUUAUGUCUUUUUCAAUCCCUUAAGUAUCAUCUGGGUGGAGAUUCAGGAUGGAGUAGCGGUAAAUGCAGAAUAAAGAAGGAAGGAGAAUCUCCCCUCAACAGAGAUCACAUUUUCAGUAGCAAAAGUGAUUCUAACAGAUAGACACAAAAUAUCCCGUAUGGAACUUAAUUUACUGCAGGGUUAAAUGUUCUCCAAGUAACACCUCUGGGAGAACAUGUGCACUUUGGAAAUUAACUUUUUUCUGAGAAUCAAAAUUCACUUGCGUCUAGGAUCCCUGAGAAGGUACAGCAGAAGUUUCUUCCAGGAAUGAAAAACAGGACUGUGGACUUAGAGUAGCAGAGAGGGGACAACUAUUACUGUCACAAGAACCUCCCAUCUGAAAAGGAAAUCUGAAGAGAGCCGGCCCCAGCACCAGGCUCUGUGGAUGCCGCCGCGUGGGGAAGCGGAGACGCCACUCUGGCCAUCGCUUCAGCCACGGCAGCCCUUUGGACCUCUUUUUCCUGGAUUUUCUUGACAUCCCUUCCUGCUCCGUCUUUAUUGGAGCUGCAGGUCCUCCAGCCGAGAUGGAGGCCCUUCCCGGGGGAGACAGCCAGAACCCUGGUUUCCCCUCCCCCAGUGCCUCCCAACCCGGAAAGCCGCGCGCCCUUGCUCUAGGCUUCCGGCCUCGCCCGCCGCACCCCCGGCAGGUCCCCGCCGCGCCUCGGGCAAAGGGAUGUGCCUUCUGAUCCGGUGCUGUAGCUUGGCACCUUGCCGCUUUCUUUUCUAACAAUUAACUGGUUUCAAAGACUUGGUAAUUCUAGAAACUGCAGCCGUGACCUCCAGUAGAGGAAGUCUGGCACGGUUCUGUUGGGAGGGCCUGUGCCCCUGAUUAUCCCUCGCAAGUUCUCUUACGCCCCACAUCGUGGAUGCUGGUUUGCCCACGGGGCUGCACGUGCUUCUCAGAAGAGGCUCCUGCCCACUUAGGCGUCAGUGAAGGAAGUCUGGAGGAGGCAGGACAAGUUAAUUUUGGAAAAAUGGGAUUCCCUUCUUCCUAUGUCCUUUUCACAGGUUUUCAGAAGUGGAAUGGAAGGAAGGACCUAAGACACUAUCCCCACCCCUGGGGUGAGUCACCAUCCAUAUGCGGAUGAUUCCCGAAGCUUUCUAAGCACAAAUCUUUCCCCUGACUCCAGACCCAUAAAUCCAAAUGCCUAUUAAUCAGCUGCCACAAGGAGCCCCCAAACCCAAUAUGUCUAACCUUGACUUCUUUACACAGCCAACACUGCUCUCUGUAAUUUCCUGUCUCCAGAUAGGAAGCCUGCCAGUCAUCCCUGACUUCCUCUUGAUCAGCUGCCCCCACCUCCACCACGCACGCGCACACACACACACACACACACACACACGCUGUAAAUCCCCAAAACCUGUCUCUUUAACAGCAUUCAAUUCCAUCCUUUUUUUUUUUUGAGGAAGAUUAGCCCUGAGCUAACAUCUGCUCCCAAUCUUCCUCUUUUUUUUUGCUGAGGAAGAUGGGCCCUGAGCUAACGUCCGUGCCCAUCUUCCUCUACUUUAUAUGUGGGAUGCCUGCCGAAGCAUGACUUGACAAGCUGUGCAUAGGUCGGCACCGGGGAUCUGAACUGGCAAACCCCAGGCCACCGAAGUGGAACGUAUGAACUUAACCACUGCGCCACCAGGCUGGUCCCCAAUUCUUUUUUUUUUUUUUCACUUCCUUACUCACACAACAUUAGCUUAGAUCAUCAUUUUAUCAUACGCCCCACCACUUUCACUCCUAGAUAUACGCCCAAGAGAAAUGAAAACAUAUGUCUGCACAGUAACUUGUACACAAAUGUUCAUAAUGACAGUAUUCAUAGUAGCCAAAAGGUGGAAACAACCCAAACACGCACCAAGAAAGACAUGCAUAAACAAUUUGUGGUAAAUACAUAAGAUGGAAUAUAGUUUAGUCAUAAAAAGUAAGGAAGUACUGACAUAUGCAACAACUUGGAUGAACCUUGAAAACAUGCUAAGUGAAAAAAGCCAGACGCAAAAGAUCACGUAGUGAAUGAUUUCUUUUAUAUGAUAUAUCAGAAUAGGCAAAUCCACAGAGACAGAACCACAUUAGUGGCUCCCAGGAAUGAGAGUCGCAGGCAGUGACCAAGUAACAUAUGGAUGUUUCCAUGGAGUGAUGAAAAAGUAUUGAAACUAGAGAGAAGUAGUUACACAACGUUGUGAAUAUACUAAAUGCCAUUGACUUGUGUUCUUUGUAACAGUUAAUUGUGUGGUAUGUGAAUUUCACCUCAACAGAAAACAAGUAAAACAAUGCUAGAUAUCACCUUCUGCUAGCGAGAUGGAUUAGUUUUUGCAAACUUGUAAGCAAUUCUGAUCUCGUUUACUUCUCAAUGAAACGGGAAGUUUGUCUGCAAUUUACAGCCAAACUUGUGGGCAUGACCAAGUGUCUGCUUCAAAGGGGGAAAGUGUUCUCUUUUUGUAACCUCUCUUGGGGCAAAAACUGUGGGCUGUGGUCACAUUCAGUUGUAAUUCCAGUACUUGAGUUACACUGAGGAACAAGCUGCAUGGGCAGGCUCUCCUUUAGCAGCAACAUUCAAUAAUAAAAGAAAACUAAUUUCUGGAUAAAGACUUCUCUUAAAUAUUUGGCAAAAUUUACCCUGUUCUUACCUCAUCUUGCAAUAUAUGUGAUUUAUCUCCUGGAAGAAGGGACCACACAGAUCUUUUUGGGUAAGAUAUUUCAUAGCUGACUUUUCUGGGCUCAGUGAUCUUCGUUUUUUCCCAGGUGACUUUAGACACACAGUCACUGCCUUUCUGCCCCAAGCAUUACUGCUGCCUGGCACAGAUGCCCCCAAAGAAACACUGCCUAGACCUUUGAGGGGUGGAAGCUGGAGAUGUUUGCAAGGAUUUCCUGGUGUAUGAGUUAGCUUUCGCUACAUCUCAAACUACGUCAAAGCUCAAUGGCUUAAAACAACCCUAGUUAUUCAGCCUACAAUUCCUUGGGUCAGCAAUUUGGGCUGGGCUCAGUGGGCAGUUCUGUGGUCCUGUUCAUGCAUUUGUAGUCAGCUGCAGAAUAUGCAGUCAGCUGGCUGGUCUACCGGGGUUUGGCUCAUCCUAAGUGGCCUCCCUUGCAUGUCUGAAAGGUGACUAGCUGUUGGCUGGGGCAACUUGAUCCUUCUCCACAUGGUCUCUCAUCUUCCAACAGGCUAGCCCAGGCUUAUUCACAGGGUGGCAGUGUUCAGAACUCACACAGCAUCACUUCCAUCACAUCCGUUUGGUCAAAGAAAGUUGUAAGGCCAGCCGAGAUUAGAGAGGUGGGGAAAUAGAUACAGCCUCUUGGUGGGAGAUGUAUUGUGACCAUUUUUGCAAUCUCUUACAGCUGAAGUCAUUAUUCUUGCCAUAGUAACCCACGACUCCCCAUACUGUUGUCCCUAGACCCCCUCCUGGCUUUAACAGCCUUCAGGCAUGAGUCCCACUUGGUUACUGAUCCUUCCUUAUAUCAGUCAUGUUCUGGGUUACUAGUUCCCUCUUCCAUCUGAGUCCACAUUCAUUCAGUCUCAGAAAACCCUCACAGUUCUGAUCCACUGAGGAACUCCUUUCUUAUUUCUGAGCAUGGAUGUGUUCACUUAGAGUUAGUGUAACCAUAUGAUUUAUUGUCUUAAUUGUGGCUUUUGAGAAUGAAAUGGGGCACUAUGAAUAAUUAUGCCAGUGCAGCAAGCAUAAACUGAGAUGUCCCUAUUUAAAGCUCAGUGGUUAGAACUUCAGGCUCUUAGACCCACAUUACUUGGGUUUGGAUAUACAAACUCUGACAAUUACUUGCCAGUUACUUAAACUCUUAGUAAGUUUCCUCAUCUAUUAAAUGGAGAUUAUAGUGCUUUCUUUACAGGGGUUUUGUGAGGUUUAAAUGAGUUAACUUACAUAAAAUACUUAGCUGUUAUUAUUAUAUUAUUUCUAAGCUCUGCAAUGGAUGGAAG
ensembl:lncRNA